CAGCAGCCGCGGGAAUACGAAGGGGGCUAGCGUUGUUCGGAUUUACUGGGCGUAAAGCGCACGUAGGCGGAUCGAUCAGUCAGGGGUGAAAUCCUGGAGCUCAACUCCAGAACUGCCUUUGAUACUGUCGAUCUCGAGUCCGGAAGAGGUGAGUGGAACUCCUAGUGUAGAGGUGGAAUUCGUAGAUAUUAGGAAGAACACCAGUGGCGAAGGCGGCUCACUGGUCCGGUACUGACGCUGAGGUGCGAAAGCGUGGGGAGCAAACAGGAUUAGAGACCCGCGUAGUCCCUGUCUCUUAUAA
rnacentral:rRNA from 1 species